rnacentral:lncRNA from 1 species
UGUCAUACAUAUAUUGGUUUAGCAUAAUAAUAUUGUGCUGUAUUCUCCUUUUGUUUCACUGACAAUUAUAAAUCUAUUAUUCCAUGUCAUUAAAUAUUACAAGUUCACCUUUAAUUUUAGUGUGGUAUUUUAUAAUAGCCUUAGUCUAUAAUGCAUUUAGUCUUAUAGAGAAGUAUAUAGAAACUGGUUUUGUUUUUCUUUUUGUAUAUGAUGCUGCACAAAACAUUAUUGUAUCAUCUUUUUUUGUUUUUUUCUCGUUUAUCUCAUUUUGCCUACAGAAUUUGGAUGUAAUCAAAUUUAUCUACAUAUCCGUUUACUGUUUUAUGACAUGGUUAGAAAGACUUUUCUCGGAUUCAGCUUAUAAACACUUUAACCAUUUAUUUUCUGAGAGUCUCUAGGAUCACAAGGGGAGCACACUAUUGGCUAAUUAUUGCCAAGAAUUUGACGGCAGAAAUCGAGGUCUUGUCAUGGGUGAGAUGCUGAACUAAUCAAUUCUGGGAUUACUAUAUCCCUAGACCUCUUGUAAUAUGAGAAACUACAUUUUCUUUUCUAUAUGUGCUACUUAAUUUUCUGUUGAUUAUUGACUGUGAGUAGUUGUGCCGUAAAAUGCCUUGGUGCACUUUUUUGUGUAUCUGUUCUGCUUGAGGCUCACAGGUGAAUGUGUUUGUUCUGAAUGUGGCGGACACAUUUCAUCAACUGUCAAAAUCCUGGCUACUAUCUCCUCAGAUAUUCUUUGUAACCCAUUUUCUAUUUUCUCUCCUUCUGUGACUCCAAUUAUUCAUACAUUACUUUGUUUUCUAUCAUCCCAUUGAUCUCAGAUGCACUAUUCCACAUUUUUUCUCUUUGUGUUUGGAUAACAAUCUUCAGACUUACUGACUUUUUAAUUUCUAUGACCAGUGUGUUGAUAAACCCAGAAAAUAAAGUUUCCCAUGUAAAUGUGGCUUUCA